rnacentral:rRNA from 1 species
GACGAACGCUGGCGGCGUGCCUAACACAUGCAAGUCAACUUGACUGAAGGAGCAAUCUGACAGUAGAGUGGCGCAAGGGUGCGUAACGCGUAAGUAACUUGCCCAAGGUAAGGAAUAACGUCGAGAAAUCGGCGCUAAUACCUCAUAAUGCAGCGGAUCCGCAUGGAUAUGUUGUUAAAGGUUUACCGCCUUGGGAUAGGCUUGCGUCUGAUUAGUUAGUUGGUGUGGUAACGGCACACCAAGGCUACGAUCAGUAACUGGUCUGAGAGGAUGAUCAGUCACACUGGAACUGAGACACGGUCCAGACUCCUACGGGAGGCAGCAGUGAGGAAUAUUGGGCAAUGCUCGAAAGAGUGACCCAGCAACGCCGCGUGGAGGAUGAAGGUAUUCUAUAUCGUAAACUCCUGUGAGAGC